rnacentral:rRNA from 1 species
UACGUAGGGCGCAAGCGUUAUCCGGAAUUAUUGGGCGUAAAGAGCUCGUAGGCGGUUUGUCGCGUCUGCUGUGAAAGACCGGGGCUCAACUCCGGUUCUGCAGUGGGGUACGGGCAGACUAGAGUGCAGUAGGGGGAGACUGGAAUUCCUGGUGUAGCGGUGAAAUGCGCAGAUAUCAGGAGGAACACCGAUGGCGAAGGCAGGGUCUCUGGGCUGUAACUACGUGAGGAGCGAAAGCAUGGGGAGCGAACGG